ensembl:lincRNA
AACACCAGUCUCCUUUAAGGGGAAUUGCCAAAUCCACUCUCCUAGACUCCCUGCCUGUGCACCCUGCUGUGAGGGGGCAAAAGUGACUUAACUCUCCCCUCCUGUUUUCCUCUCAGGACAAAUGAAAUCCAGACAGGAGCAGCCCAUGGCGGAGCUUAUCAUGGGAUGAGGAGGCCGACCAGCUCCAGGAAAAACUUCAACAAGAUCAGUUACACGAGCCAGGUGGACCCUGUGCUUCCCUCCAGGAUAGAUUUCAGAUUUUUGCCUGCAGCUACCUGUUGGGAUCAAAACACCCCGCCCCUGCAUUUUAAUUCUUUGAUCAGAAGAGAAGAACAAACUGGAUCCAGGCUCCUAGCUGGCAAUAUGAAGACGAUAAGAGAAGAUAAUAAGGAAAAUGGUGAAAGUUGAUAUAUACACAUGUAUUUAUGAAAUUAUGAAAUAACAACUACAGAAGGAGAGACAUGAAGUCAGACGUGGUAACUGAUACCUGGAAUCCUGUCACCCAGGAGAGGUGUGUGGGUUUGCCCACCACCGACUCAUUUACAAUCUGGCUUUUCUUCUAAUCUGUAAGGUGCUUGUUAGAACUGUUUGAAAUCUUUUGGGAAAGGGGGCCAGUUUCCCCUCUGGCUGGUGCCCUUUCCUUCUCCUGGCAAGAGCCAGCAUGAGAUUCCUGGGGAAAUUCUCAUUUCAGGAAGUCCACUGUUUCAACAGUGUGACAGUCAAUGAGAGAAAUCAAGAGACAUCAGAUCCCCUAGAACUAGAGAAAAACAAUUAAAAACUGAUUCAUGGGGUCUGAGAACCAAACCCAGAACCUCUGCAAGAACAGCAAGGGCUCUUAACCACGGAGCCACCUCGCCAGCCCUGGUACAAAGGUCUCUUUAGAAUGUCUUCAUUCCUACCACGCUGCUUACCUCUGGCGGAUCAUGACUCCCAAACCAUCUUGGGCCACAUAGCAAAACCCUGUCCCAGACACAAGGAAAGAAACAACCCUCAGGAAGCAGAAGCAGGAGGAUCGAUUGAAAUCUGAGGUCAGUCUUGGCUACCUGGUAAAGCCUUGUCUCGAAAACCAAAUGAUGAAGUAAACCAUGACCAAAAACAGACAAGAAGAAAAGAACUAUCAGGUAAUUCCUCCCCCCCCCCCCGGAUUCCUAAACCGGCAGAGGCCAUGGUUAUAUGAGGACACAGGAGAAGGUGGUUGUGUGUAAGCCAGCAGUCGAGAGUCUCACCAGAAACUUCUGGCAUCCUAAUCUUGGACUUGUCUAAAAUCUAGGCCUAGGGGGGAAGAAAUCUGCUGGUUAAAUCAGCAAGUCUAGCACUGUCAUGACAGUUCAGCUCAAAAAGCCAGGCAAUGGGACUGAUGACCUGAAUUUGAUCCCCGGGACCUAUGUGAUGGAAAGAAUGAAUGAGCCCUCCCAGCUGUCAUCUGACCUCCACAUUCUGGCAUGGCAUGCCCGGUUCUCAGACACACAUAAACACAGGAGCAAAAUUAACAGGUAAAUGUCAUGUAAAAAAAAAUCACACCACAUAGUCUACAGUGCUUCCUUACCCGAGGUGACAGAGAGUGGAAUGAUUACAUUUGUAGUAUAGAGAUGGACCCCCCCAAAACAACCAACUUGUGCCCCGAAGUUUAGAUCUGUGCCUAACAUAGGCAAGAGUGAGCUGUCUUCAGAUCUGUGACCACGGACCCAGGCAGCUCCUCUGUAGUGGAAGUUAUAUGAAUCAGAGCCUAGGAGCUUCAUGGCAUUGUAUGAGCCACAUGAUCUUCCCGUCCCCUGAGGAACAGCAGGUCUUACUUUCUCGAAAUUACAAAUUUUCUCAUUUUUUGUGAGACUCCAGCUGACAUGUCAGGAAACACUUGUAUAAAAGUCAUCUAAAAAUACACACAAGCUUGUCAUAGUAACUGUCUUUAGGAGGAGUUGGAGAUUGGAUAGAAUUAGUUUUCAAUAAUUCAACUACUUUAUGGUUUAAAAAAACAAAAAACAAAACCCGACUAUAUGCUAUACCAAAAAAGAAGUCCUACUUUCUGGUUAUUUCUUAUUGGUAUGAGCAUGACUCCACCAGCCGGGUCCAGAAAUACCAUCUUACUGAAGGAGGAGGAGGAGUUAAUUUUGGAAAGAAAGAUUAAAAGUAUUU